rnacentral:rRNA from 1 species
CAGCAGCCACGGGAAUACGAGGGGGGCAAGCGUUGUUCGGAAUUAUUGGGCGUAAAGGGCGCGUAGGCGGUUGGUACAGUCAGAUGUGAAAUUCCUGGGCUUAACCUGGGGGCUGCAUUUGAUACGUGCUGGCUUGAGUGGGAAGAGGGUCGUGGAAUUCCCAGUGUAGAGGUGAAAUUCGUAGAUAUUGGGAAGAACACCGGUGGCGAAGGCGGCGACCUGGUCCUUUACUGACGCUGAGGCGCGAAAGCGUGGGGAGCAAACAGGAUUAGAUACCCCUGUAGUCCCUGUCUCUUAUACA